AAACUGAAGAGUUUGAUCAUGGCUCAGAUUGAACGCUGGCGGCAGGCUUAACACAUGCAAGUCGAGCGGAGAUGAGGUGCUU
rnacentral:ncRNA from 1 species